UUGAGUUACUUCUGUCUUUCUAAAUGUCGUUUAUAGGGUUAGGUCAUUUAUAGCAGUGGUCCCCAACCACCGGUCCAGGGACCAGUACCGGUCCGUGACGCAUUUGCUACCGGGCCGCAGGGAAACAUUAAAUAAUUUAUAAACGACUGCAUUUUCUCCAACUUAAAGGGGAACAUUACCACAAUUUCAAAAGGGUUAAAAACAAUAAAAAUCAUUUCCCAGUGCAUUGUUUUAUUUUUCGAAGUUUUUUUCAAAAUGUUACAUCUCCCAGAAUAUCCCUAGAAAAAGCUUUAAUGUGCUUGAUUUUCGCUAUUUGCGAUGCGACUGUUCAUUUCCCUGUGACGUCAUACAGUGCUGCCAAUACAAACGAUGGCGAAUAGCACAGCAAGAUAUAGCGACAUUAGCUCGGAUUCAGACCCGGAUUUCAGCGGUUUAAGCGAUUCAACAGAUUACGCAUGUAUUGAAACAGAUGGUUGGAGUAUGGAGGCAGAUAGCGAAAACGAAAUUGAAGAAGAAACUGAAGCUAUUGAGCGAAUAGCUAUUGACGCUAUUCGGCCAUAGCAUGUGUGUACCUAAUGAAGUGGCCCAUAGCAUGGCCGCCUUAUUAGCAUCGCCGGUAAAAUGUGCGGACCAAACGAUCAGGACAUUCGCAUCUUGUGACACUGGAGCAACUUAUAUCCGUCGAUUGGUAAGUGUUUGUUUCGCAUUAAAUGUGGGUAUCUAGUUUCAAAUGUACAUACAGCUAGCGUAAAUAGCAUGUUAGCAUCGAUUAGCGUAGCAUGUUAGCAUCGAUUAGCUGGCAGUCAUGCCAUGACCAAAUAUGUCUGAUUAGCACAUAAGUCAACAACAUCAACAAAACUCAGUUUUGUGAUUUAGUUGACUUUAUCGUUCCAAAUACAUCUGCAGGUUAUCCACACAUCUCUGUGCCAUGUCUGUCAUUGCCGGUAAAAUGUGAAGACACUUUGGUACAUUCAAUGGGGGUCUGGCGGCAGAUUUCUUGCCAGUGGUGCAACUUGAAUCCCUCCCUGUUACUGUUGUUACACCUUCCGACAACACACCGACGAGGCAUGAUGUCUCCAAGGUUCCAAAAAAUAGUCGAAAAAACGCAAAAUAACAGAGCUGAGACCCGGUGUUUGUAAUGUGAAAAUGAAAAUGGCGGGUGUAUUACCUCGGUGACGUCACGUUCUGACGUCAUCGCUACAAAACCGAUAAACAGAAAGGCGUUUAAUUCGCCAAAAUUCACCCAUUUAGAGUUCGGAAAUCGGUUAAAAAUAUAUAUAUGGUAUUUUUUCUGCAACAUCAAGGUAUAUAUUGACGCUUGCAUAGGUCUGGUGAUAAUGUUCCCCUUUAACCUUUGCCUGUCCCACUAGACACACCAAUAAGCUUGUUUAUAGCUCAAUCAAUCAAUCAAUCAAUUUCCUUUAAUUAACCAGGUAAAGACUCACUGAGAUUAAAAUCUCUUUUUCAAGCGCAACCUGACAUAGAGGUCGGCACAAACACAGUUGGAAUAAUAAUUACAACAGGGCAAUACAACAGAACAACAGCAGUCAUACCACAACAGGUUAAGUGAAUUGAAGUGAAUUGUGUUUAUAUAGCGCUUUUCUCUAGUGACUCAAAGCGCUUUACAUAGUGAAACCCAAUAUCUAAGUUACAUUUAAACCAGUGCGGGUGGCACUGGGAGCAGGUGGGUAAAGUGCCUUGCCCAAGGACACAACGGCAGUGACUAGGAUGGCAGAAGCGGGAAUCGAACCAGCAACCCUCAAGUUGCUGGCACGGCCACUCUACCAACCGAGCUAUGCCGCCCACUUAAAAAUAUUUUAAAACGUGGGUGUACAAUAAAACUCCUAGAAGGAAGUUGUAAUUUGUUAUAUUUGUUCUAACUUUGUGACAUGAUACAAUGCACAUUCUAUCCAUCAAUUUUCUACCGGUUGUCCCUUUAAUGAACAUCCAUCCAUCCAUCCAUCCAUUUUCUACCGCUUAUUCCCUUUUUUUGGGGUCGCGGGGGGCGCUGGCGCCUAUCUCAGCUACAAUCGGGCGGAAGGCGGGGUACACCCUGGACAAUUCGCCACAUCAUCGCAGGGCCCCUUUAAUGAACAUAUAAUAUGUAAAUGUGACAGAUUGUAGCCCGAGGUUGAUUUUCAUCUGCAUGUCACUGAAAAGAAACAAGCCCAGGGCUCCCACUAAGUCAGCGUUAUAGUGAGUUGUAUUUUUAAUGCACUUAUUUUUGCUGUAUUUAUCUGGCACAAGUGGAAAGUCCCUGAAAAUAAUGCCGACAUUAAACCUGUCCGUGGUGCAAAAAAGGUUGGGGACCACUGAUUUAUAGUACUAAUGAUACACUUUUGUGUUUAGUUUGUUGACAGGUGAAGACACUGAAGUAUAAUAAGACCCUGUAACAAUAACCGUAGAACCAGGAAUGGAACGACGGUUAAAGCUUCAUCAAUGACAAUCAUUUUCAUGUUUUAUAUUUUAAGGUGAAUCGACUCGCCUUCCAAGCACAUGUGAGAAUGAGACCCAAGUGAUCAAGGCAUUAUUGCCAUUUAUUGUUUUGAAAAGUCUAUACCAGGGGUGUCCAAAAUGUUUUCCACUGAAAGCCGCACACUGAAAAAUGAAAACAUGCGGGGGUCAUUUGAUAUUUUUCAUUGUCAAAACAAAUAGAAUAUUCACUGUAAUCCUUAGGGCUCCCCUCAAUGAUUAUAAAUGUAAAGAGGAACUGCACUUUUUUUGGAAAUUUGUAUCGUUCACAUUCAUUAUGAUGACGGCGGAUGUAUUUGUUUUUAAUGCAUUCUAACUUGUAAAUAAAAGUAUGCUUACAGCAGA